rnacentral:lncRNA from 1 species
CCACCAGUAUAAUGCGGGAAUACAUUUAAGUUCUAGGUUGCCCACCAGUAUAAUGCGGGAAUACUUUUAAGUUCUAGGUCGCCCACCAGUAAAAUGCGGGAAUACUUUUAAGUUCUAGGUCGCCCACCAGUAAAAUGCGGGAAUACAUUUAAGUUCUAGGUCGCCCACCAGUAAAAUGCGGGAAUACAUUUCAGCUCUAGAUUUUGGAAUCAAUAACCCCACCUAAAGGCGGAAGGUUACAACAGAGACCCCCAAGCAGGAAACAAUGAAAUCCCCAGCACCAAGAAGCAGAAGGCUGCAAAGGCAAGCGCGCGAUUCAAAAGGAAGAAGGAACGCGUCCCAAAAGAAGCAGUUUGGGGAACGUUAUAGCAUGCCCAACAUAACAAUUUUGACGAAGAAAGCCAUACCACUGAAGAAACCAUUGAAAGACUUAAAGAA